ACCCUGCUGCCGAGUACCAAAUAGGACGAAACCUGGGUCCAGGGU
rnacentral:hammerhead_ribozyme from 1 species